UCCCGGUUAGCUUAGUUGGUGAAGAAUCUGCCUGCAAUGCAGGAGACCCCAGUUCAAUUCCUGGGCCAGGAA
rnacentral:tRNA from 1 species